GAUGAACGCUGGCGGCGUGCUUAACACAUGCAAGUCGAACGGAAAGGCUCCUGCUUGCAGGGGUACUCGAGUGGCGAACGGGUGAGUAACACGUGGGUGAUCUGCCCUGCACUUCGGGAUAAGCCUGGGAAACUGGGUCUAAUACCGGAUAGGACCACAUUUUGGAUGGUGUGGUGGAAAGUUUUUCGGUGUGGGAUGAGCUCGCGGCCUAUCAGCUUGUUGGUGGGGUAAUGGCCUACCAAGGCGUCGACGGGUAGCCGGCCUGAGAGGGUGUACGGCCAAUUUGGGACGGGGAAAGGGCCCAGACCCCCAGGGGGGGAAGAAGGGGGGAAAUUUGCAAAAGGGGGGAAAGCCUGAUGCAGGGCCGCCGGGGGGGGGAGGACGGCCUUGGGGUUGUAAACCCCUUUCGCUAGGGACGAAGCGUUUUUGUGACGGUACCUGGAGAAGAAGCACCGGCUAACUACGU
rnacentral:rRNA from 1 species